rfam:Picoides pubescens contig35239, whole genome shotgun sequence.
AAAAAGGCUCUUUUCAGAGCCGCCCACAGUAAUCAAAAAAGGUUG